GACAUGCGAUAAGUAAUGUGAAUUGCAGAAUUCAGUGAAUCAUCGAAUCUUUGAACGCACAUUGCGCCCGCCAGUAUUCUGGCGGGCAUGCCUGUUCGAGCGUCAUUACAACCCUCAGGCCCCCGGGCCUGGCGUUGGGGAUCGGCGGAAGCCCCCUGCGGGCACAACGCCGUCCCCCAAAUACAGUGGCGGUCCCGCCGCAGCUUCCAUUGCGUAGUAGCUAACACCUCGCAACUGGAGAGCGGCGCGGCCACGCCGUAAAACACCCAACUUCUGAAUGUUGACCUCGAAUCAGGUAGGAAUACCCGCUGAACUUAAGC
rnacentral:misc_RNA from 1 species